AGAGUUUGAUCCUGGCUCAGGAUGAACGCUGGCGGCGUGCUUAACACAUGCAAGUCGAACGAUGAUCCCAGCUUGCUGGGGGAUUAGUGGCGAACGGGUGAGUAACACGUGAGUAACCUGCCCUUAACUCUGGGAUAAGCCUGGGAAACUGGGUCUAAUACCGGAUAUGACUCCUCAUCGCAUGGUGGGGGGUGGAAAGCUUUAUUGUGGUUUUGGAUGGACUCGCGGCCUAUCAGCUUGUUGGUGAGGUAAUGGCUCACCAAGGCGACGACGGGUAGCCGGCCUGAGAGGGUGACCGGCCACACUGGGACUGAGACACGGCCCAGACUCCUACGGGAGGCAGCAGUGGGGAAUAUUGCACAAUGGGCGAAAGCCUGAUGCAGCGACGCCGCGUGAGGGAUGACGGCCUUCGGGUUGUAAACCUCUUUCAGUAGGGAAGAAGCGAAAGUGACGGUACCUGCAGAAGAAGCGCCGGCUAACUACGUGCCAGCAGCCGCGGUAAUACGUAGGGCGCAAGCGUUAUCCGGAAUUAUUGGGCGUAAAGAGCUCGUAGGCGGUUUGUCGCGUCUGCCGUGAAAGUCCGGGGCUUAACUCCGGAUCUGCGGUGGGUACGGGCAGACUAGAGUGCAGUAGGGGAGACUGGAAUUCCUGGUGUAGCGGUGAAAUGCGCAGAUAUCAGGAGGAACACCGAUGGCGAAGGCAGGUCUCUGGGCUGUAACUGACGCUGAGGAGCGAAAGCAUGGGGAGCGAACAGGAUUAGAUACCCCGGUAGUCC
rnacentral:rRNA from 1 species